AUCGCUUUCUUACUUCUCUCACAAAGCAGCUGAGAGAGUAAGCAUGAUAAUAUCACUCUUUAAUAUCAGUUUUCACUUAGGAAAGCUAAAAAUGACAUCAACCCUAUCAACAUCAUCAUUUCACAAUCUACAAACCAUUGAACAGGAGUUCAGUCUGGAUUCCCCAGAGAUAAUUAUUUUUCCUCCCACCAGGACAUACAAGAAAAGAUAAACCAGGGAAAAACAAAGAUGCUAGGAAUUAGGGCUAGUUAAAAUGUAUAUCCGUAGUCGGUCUUCUAAUUCCCCAGAUAAUGCUAGAUCUCAAGAUCAGGAAGAUAACUGGCAUUCUUUAGUUUUUGACAUGCUACCUAAUGAACAGCUAAACCAUUUUCAUAGAAGGCAAAAUUAGAGUGCUGCUGCAGGAACGUGGCUUCUAUAUCUAAAGUUAAUUGGAUUUUCCAUUAUGAUGAGGCUUGUUUUUCAGAAUUUAAUCUCUUAGUCUCCCGAUUGCUCUGCGUUGACGGUAAGACAGAAGAUAAAUAGGGCAUGUGGAGUGAAUCAUGGGUUGGGGAGGAGCCUAUUAGGUCAAAGGAUCUGCAGGUAUAUUGAGACAUUACAAUGUGCAAGCAGGAACUAGGAUUUGGGUAGAAUACGUGUCUUCUCAAAAUGGAGUUUUUCAGAAGGGAAAACUGACUUCAUGUUAUUGUAGUUUCUCUCUCUCUCUCCACCUCUGUCUCUCUCCUAGACAACAAUGUGCUCUACUUCCAUUAGGAUGUUGAGGGUGAUCCGUGCAGACUGGAACAAAAUAGCAGUACUAACUUUUUUUUUUUUUUUCCCAGUCAGACAGAUUGCUCUAGAGUCUACCCAAUUUAGCAACAGUUUGUACUCGCUGGUGUUUUGAACAUGAAAAGAGCUUUCAAAGUGAAAGAACCAAUUUGAAAAGAGCUUCAGCAUCGCUGAUGGGCCAGGAGAAAAUGGGACUUUCCCAGUUGUGGAAUGGCAACGCGCUCCAUCGCCUUGAGGGCAGCAAUGAACAAGGACUCAGACUCUCAGCCCUUUAGUCCCAGAUGUGGUAACAGCUCCUUUGAUGUACCUGCGCUGGAGUACUUACUAUUCCCAGAACCCCGCCUAUACUUUGUAAGCAGUCUCUUUGUCAAACUCUCCUUUAAUGUAAUGUGAGUGUGUCAUUUGCUUUCAGUGGGAAUCUGAAAGAACUAUAUGUAGCAAUAUUUUAUAACUAAUAAUAUUUUAU
rnacentral:lncRNA from 1 species